GAUGAACGCUGGCGGCGUGCUUAACACAUGCAAGUCGAACGGAAAGGCUCCUGCUUGCAGGGGUACUCGAGUGGCGAACGGGUGAGUAACACGUGGGUGAUCUGCCCUGCACUUCGGGAUAAGCCUGGGAAACUGGGUCUAAUACCGGAUAGGACCACAUUUUGGAUGGUGUGGUGGAAAGGUUUUCGGUGUGGGAUGAGCCCGCGGCCUAUCAGCUUGUUGGUGGGGUAAUGGCCUACCAAGGCGUCGACGGGUAGCCGGCCUGAGAGGGUGUACGGCCACAUUGGGACUGAGAUACGGCCCAGACUCCUACGGGAGGCAGCAGUGGGGAAUAUUGCACAAUGGGCGCAAGCCUGAUGCAGCGACGCCGCGUGGGGGAUGACGGCCUUCGGGUUGUAAACUCCUUUCGCUAGGGACGAAGCGUUUUUGUGACGGUACCUGGAGAAGAAGCACCGGCUAACUACGUG
rnacentral:rRNA from 1 species